CAACACUAUAUCAAUGGAAGACUGAGCAAUGUGGAUAGACAUAACAUUCAGGGAGCUACCAAAGUGGUGGGUGGAUAUAUUCAACUAGACUCAGUGUUUUUGCUCUAUUUGACCUGAGUGCUUCACAUUUUUUAUUUCCGCCAACUUGGUAAAGACGAUCGAGCGGGUGAAGUGCCCAACAAGAAAGCCUUUGUUAGUUCAAACCCCA
rnacentral:lncRNA from 1 species